rnacentral:rRNA from 1 species
AGUGAACGCUGGCGGCAGGCCUAACACAUGCAAGUCGAGCGGAUGAAGGGAGCUUGCUCCUGGAUUCAGCGGCGGACGGGUGAGUAAUGCCUAGGAAUCUGCCUGGUAGUGGGGGAUAACGUCCGGAAACGGGCGCUAAUACCGCAUACGUCCUGAGGGAGAAAGGGGGGGAUCUUCGGACCUCACGCUAUCAGAUGAGCCUAGGUCGGAUUAGCUAGUUGGUGGGGUAAAGGCCUACCAAGGCGACGAUCCGUAACUGGUCUGAGAGGAUGAUCAGUCACACUGGAACUGAGACACGGUCCAGACUCCUACGGGAGGCAGCAGUGGGGAAUAUUGGACAAUGGGCGAAAGCCUGAUCCAGCCAUGCCGCGUGUGUGAAGAAGGUCUUCGGAUUGUAAAGCCCUUUUAGUUGGGAGGAAGGGCAGUAAGUUAAUACCUUGCUGUUUUGACGUUACCAACAGAAUAAGCACCGGCUAACUUCGUG